rnacentral:misc_RNA from 1 species
CCGUGCUUACCAUAUUGCAAGAGGAGAUACUCACCGGAAUGUCUGCAUUAUUCCUGUUUCUGCUCAUGGGACGAAUCCGGCGAGUGCAGCUAUGUGUGGAAUGAAAAUUGUCGCAGUUGGAACUGAUUCCAAGGGGAACAUCAACAUCGAGGAGCUGCGAAAAGCUGCUGAAACUAACAAGGACCACUUAGCUGCUCUGAUGGUUACCUACCCCUCUACCCAUGGAGUCUAUGAAGAAGGAAUCGAUGAGAUAUGUAAGAUCAUCCAUGACAAUGGGGGGCAAGUUUAUAUG